UUAACACAUGCAAGUCGAACGGUGAUGAUCAAGCUUGCUUGGUCUGAUCAGUGGCGAACGGGUGAGUAACACGUGAGUAACCUGCCCCAGACUCUGGGAUAACCCCGGGAAACCGGAGCUAAUACCGGAUAUGACACCAACGGGCAUCCGUAUGGUGUGGAAAGUUUUUCGGUCUGGGAUGGACUCGCGGCCUAUCAGCUUGUUGGUGAGGUAGUGGCUCACCAAGGCGACGACGGGUAGCCGGCCUGAGAGGGCGACCGGCCACACUGGGACUGAGACACGGCCCAGACUCCUACGGGAGGCAGCAGUGGGGAAUAUUGCACAAUGGGCGAAAGCCUGAUGCAGCGACGCCGCGUGAGGGAUGACGGCCUUCGGGUUGUAAACCUCUUUCAGCAGGGAAGAAGCGCAAGUGACGGUACCUGCAGAAGAAGCACCGGCUAACUACGUGCCAGCAGCCGCGGUAAUACGUAGGGUGCGAGCGUUGUCCGGAAUUAUUGGGCGUAAAGAGCUUGUAGGUGGUUUGUCGCGUCUGCUGUGAAAAUCCGAGGCUCAACCUCGGACUUGCAGUGGGUACGGGCAGACUAGAGUGUGGUAGGGGAGACUGGAAUUCCUGGUGUAGCGGUGGAAUGCGCAGAUAUCAGGAGGAACACCGAUGGCGAAGGCAGGUCUCUGGGCCAUUACUGACACUGAGAAGCGAAAGCAUGGGGAGCGAACAGGAUUAGAUACCCUGGUAGUCCAUGCCGUAAACGUUGGGAACUAGGUG
rnacentral:rRNA from 1 species